GAACAACACGAAAAUGGAUUAGACACUUGAGGACUUGUUCAACACCUUCAAGCAAUAUAUAAUGAUCUUGCAGAUACCCAAGGUGCUUUUUAUUUACUAAAAUCAAUCUUUUUUCUGAGCCAAUGUUGAUGAGUUUAUAUUCUAGUAGUGGUGGUGCAAGUUCUAGUAGUGGUCAUCAUCAACAUCAACAUCAACAUCAUCAUCAUCAAGUAGUUGAAGAGGUUUCAGUGCAAAGGAUGAAGAAGGAGGAGGUUAAUGCAAAGAUAUCAGCAUGGCAGAACAACAAGAUUGCAAAGAUUAACAACAGAUUCAAGAGAGAAGAUGCUGUCAUCAAAGGUUAGGAGAGUGAGUAGGUUCAGAAGGCUACUUCUUGGAUGAAGGAAGUUGAGGUUUUCAGCUUUUAUCAAUAUCCAAGAAUCAAAAUAAGGUCAUGACUCAUGACAAAUGCUCUUGCAACAUCUGUCAACGAAAUAUUGCAGACUUUUGAAUAUACUUACCAACUGAAAAAGAAUUGGGGUUUGAACAUCAACAAUGUCAUCAACUUCAGUGCUUGACACAUAAGGAAUGCCUUAUUCACUCCUUGCAAGAAAA